AGGUCAAAGUGUGUUUUUGAGCGUGAGGACAUUUGAGGGAAGGCUGAGGAAACGUUUGGAGGCUGAAAUCUGGCUGCUGUGAAGCAGUGAUCAGGUUACCUCAUCGCUCCAGCUGACAGCGAGUUCUGAAGGCUUUACAUCCCCUCAAGCUAAAGUGUUGACUUCCGAGGUCUUCCUCCGCUCCGUCAGCAGCGAUAAGGAGUUUGUCAGCGAACACAAUCUGAGUGAUAAAGGCUUUUUCUUCAAGGUUUCUCCCUGAUCUUCGGCUGCUUAAAGCUCAGCCUGCUGUCGACCUCAGCAGGUAUAAACAUGCUGAUUGUGACCUUCUGUCUGACACAGAAAACUGACACAGCUGCAGCUUCUACCUGAACACUAACAAACGUCGUCCUGAUUAAAACCUGCUUAAGGAGCAAUCAAACCCAAGACUGGGAAAUAAUCUUAGUAUCUGUCCAGAAAAAAAACUGUCUGAAGUCUAAGAUCAA